AGGAAGGCACCGGCUGCAGGCUCC
rnacentral:piRNA from 1 species